CGUCCUGGCUUAUGUGUGACGAACCCUCCCUCCCCCUGCCCCCGCGCUCCUCGCGGCUGCGGUUGCUGUGGAGGUAGUAGCGGGCUGCCCCGCUACCGUCGUGACGUGACGGGUGUCUUGGGUGCUGCUGCGGUGGUUGUGGGGUGGUAGUAGCGGCAUCCUGCAGUAAGUCUACUACUGCCUCCACAGCUAACGAGAGCUGCAUCCGAGACGCUCGUGACGUCACUGCUGUAGUGGUGGCAGUCUGCUACUACAUCCACAGUUACCACAGCAUCUAGCAAACUAGUUGUAUGAAAUCAAGUAAAAUGUUGGAUAGUGGUCGGCAUCAAGUCCAGGCACAUCCCUAUGGACAAGAAGCAGCAUCACUUCCAAUUUUACUACGACUGUACCAUACAAAUGAAAUAAAUAGCAGCAUUACUGUCA